GUGUCAGCAGCCGCGGUAAUACGUAGGUGGCAAGCGUUAUCCGGAAUUAUUGGGCGUAAAGCGCGCGCAGGCGGUUUCUUAAGUCUGAUGUGAAAGCCCACGGCUCAACCGUGGAGGGUCAUUGGAAACUGGGGAACUUGAGUGCAGAAGAGAAAAGCGGAAUUCCACGUGUAGCGGUGAAAUGCGUAGAGAUGUGGAGGAACACCAGUGGCGAAGGCGGCUUUUUGGUCUGUAACUGACGCUGAGGCGCGAAAGCGUGGGGAGCAAACAGGAUUAGAUACCCUGGUAGUCCACGCCGUAAACGAUGAGUGCUAAGUGUUAGAGGGUUUCCGCCCUUUAGUGCUGCAGCUAACGCAUUAAGCACUCCGCCUGGGGAGUACGGUCGCAAGACUGAAACUCAAAGGAAUUGACGGG
rnacentral:rRNA from 1 species